ensembl:lncRNA MIR99AHG mir-99a-let-7c cluster host gene
UGGGGAGCCUUUGCUGCUUGUGCUCCGCAGGACUUCAGGAUUUAAAUGGGCUGAGACGUAUGUCCUGUUCCUCUCCUUUCUAAAAGACUGGAAAUGGCUCUGAAUUUAAAGUCAUUUCAGGACUCUAUGACACUUAGAGAAGAUGUCUUUUGAUUUUUCCCAUCUAACUAGAAAUUUCUGGCCUUCUUCAACCUUCAUGUAAUAGUGAAUUUAUUGAUACUGCAUUUGCAAGGUUGACGUUUCAUUUCUAAGAAAAGAAUGUUUACUACAAUUAGAUGAGAAGAGUCUCUUCUGGUCAAAGAAGAUCUCUUAAGAGUAGUUCACAUGGGGAAAAGAAAAAUGGAUCUGAGAACGCUGUCUGGGCUUGGUACCAAGAGCUGGUAUUUCACAGCAGCGACCGCCUCACAGACGAGCUGUGGGAAGCAGGAGGGAGACUCUCUCUUAGGGUGCCACUACUAUGGAGACACAGCUGGGCUGAACAAGAUUUGCUUCAAACGACAACAAGAGAGACAGAAAGUAUCUGGUUCAACCGCUGCCCGAGCAGGCAGGCACCAGAAGAGCUAGCAGCCAAUCCGGCCAUGCUCGAAGCCAGCUCUGCAGCUCAGCCAAUCAGUGACAUCAUUGCUUUCUUUAGCUUGCCCAUGGUGAUGUGAAGAUGAGAAGAAAUAGCAAGGCCCAACCAGUUCUUCAUCUGGAGACAGUUCAACGUUCUGCAAACCAGGUAAAAAUAAUACAGACGAUUUUAGGAAUGCAUAGUCACUUUAUAAAAUAAACUAUUUUCUUUCUCAAGUUUGAUCUACAGAUUUUUGCAGAAGCUAUAUUUAUCAUCUAAUGUAUAACUUGUUAAUAAACAUGACAUUGUAUCAAUUUCGAUUAUCUGUGAAGAGCAGAGUGACUAAAGCAUGCAUUUGUGCAUUGACUCAUUAAUAAAGUUAUAGUUGUAGUAUAACUUACUUUUAUAAAAAUAUUUUAAAGAAAAAAGAGGACAUGUGGCUAUUUGAUUUGCUUGUUACAAUUCUAAACAAAGUAAAGAGAGGUAUGGGCUAAAUAAAUUUAAUAUUUCUUUAAAAAGUAACUUUUACCAAAUGAAUACAUGUGCAUAUAUUUAAAAUUCAGGUAAAUUUAAAGGCUAGUAACUAAAGAAAUAAACCUUUUGGCACAACUGCAGGAAAGGAACCACUUUCAAACUCUUUAAUUUUUAUUUUACUUUUGUGGUUUUAAAUAACAUCUAUAAAUCUAUCUCAGGAUUUUUAGAGUUAGUGCUCUAACAAUUGAUUUCUUGUUGCUAUAGAUGUGGAUUUAAACUUCCUUAAGACCUCAAAAUUCUUGAUUCUCCCAAUAUAGCUAUAUCACUAUUUUUAUUGUUUUAAUUUAAAUCUGUAUCUGAAUUUAUAGUUAGUAAGACUAUACAAAUAAUGUUUACUGCUGAGACUGGUGAUGUGAUAUGAUUGCAUUCUCUUUACUGUAGUAGAAUUUUCAUUUUCUCUUGAAGUCAGUGCCCUUCCUUCCUUCCUUCCUUCCUUCCUCCCUCCCUCCGUCCCUCCGUCCCUCCCUCCCCUCCCUCCCUCCCUCCCUGCCUCCCUCCAUCCCUCCUUCCUCCUUCUCUCUCUCUCUCUCUUUCUUUCUUUUUUUUGAUGGAGUCUCUCUCUGUCACCCAGGCUGG